rnacentral:rRNA from 1 species
AUAAUUUAUAUAUAAUAUUUUUAAUAUUUAUAUAAUAUUAACAUAAUUCAUAUUACUAUAAUUUUUAUUAGUAUAUGAAAUUUUACUUUGAGAAAAUUAGAGUGCUUAAAGCAGGCAUAUGCCUUGAAUACUCCAGCAUGGAAUAAUAUAAAAGAUUUUUAUCUUUUUUAUUGGUUCUAAGAUAAAAAUAAUGAUUAAUAGGGACAGUUGGGGGCAUUUGUAUUUAACAGUCAGAGGUGAAAUUCUUAGAUUUGUUAAAGACAAACUAGUGCGAAAGCAUUUGCCAAGGAUGUUUUCAUUAAUCAAGAACGAAAGUUAGGGGAUCGAAGACGAUCAGAUACCGUCGUAGUCUUAACCAUAAACUAUGCCAACUAGAGAUUGGAGGUUGUU